GACAGAGGGUGCGAACGUUGUUCGGAAUUACUGGGCGUAAAGCGCAUGUAGGCGGCAGCGCAAGUCGGGCGUGAAAUCCCACGGCUCAACCGUGGAAGUGCACUCGAAACUGCCUUGCUCGAGUACUGGAGAGGAGACUGGAAUUUACGGUGUAGCAGUGAAAUGCGUAGAUAUCGUAAGGAAGACCAGUGGCGAAGGCGAGUCUCUGGACAGUUACUGACACUGAGGCACGAAGGCCAGGGGAGCAAACGGG
rnacentral:rRNA from 1 species